rnacentral:rRNA from 1 species
UACGUAGGGGGCAAGCGUUGUCCGAAUUCAUUGGGCGUAAAGAGCGUGUAGGCGGCCAGGUAGGUCGGUUGUGAAAACUGGAGGCUCAACCUUCAGACGUCGACCGAAACCAUCUGGCUAGAGUCCGGGAGAGGUGAGUGGAAUUCCCAGUGUAGCGGUGAAAUGCGUAGAUAUUGGGAGGAACACCAGUGGCGAAGGCGGCUCACUGGACCGGAACUGACGCUGAGGCGCGAAAGCGUGGGGAGCAAACAGG